UGGGCUCAAGCUACAUAGCUGGGACUGUAGGCUUGUGCCACCAUACCUAGCUUUACCUCAAAGACUGUUGUCCACUCUACUUUUCCUAAGCCCUCCCGUGUUCUCCUGUCUGCUGGCUGCAAUCUAUAAUUCAUUUGUGUGAAAAGACAAAAUUACCAAUGACUUGAGUUCAGAGAUCCUAACAUAGCUAGGUGCUAUGGUGCAGACCCAUACCCACGGUCCCAGAUAAUUGAAAAGCUGAAGGGGGAACAUCCUUGGGCCCAGGAAUCCAAGGACAACCGGACAUUGUGGAAGCCGGGAGAUAGGUGGGGACACACACAUCUUCUUAGUUAGCUUUUAUUUGCAGUCACGGAAUCAAGAGGCAGCAAGUGCCCUGGUGAGACGGAGAGAGAGGGUGGACAAGGGCGAGCAAGGGAAAGUGGAAACAGCAAGAAAACUAGAUUAACCUCCCGUGACACUGGCUGUUUAUGGAUUGGGCUAGCCUCGCCUCCAUUUCCCUAAGUGACGGAGGCUCAAAUCUGACAUUAGCUUGUUUGUUUUCCUUGUGUUGUGGAUGGAAGCCAGGGCCUUGCAUAGGCUAAGUGCCACCCCUGAGCGCUGCUCCUAGUCCUCCUCUCUGCUGAUUCCCGCCCAGCCUGGUCCCAGCCCUUGAGUGACUCAGCUUUGGUCUGGUCGGUUGGUCCCAGUGCUGGAGCUCAACAUCUAACAUUGUAUCCAUUUGAUUAAGUAUUUGAUACUUCCUCCUUAUCCCUCCUUGGAGGUGCUCACUCACUGAGGGCAGGAGCUAUGUGUCUCGGUCACUUCUCCUGCCUCCAGCUUGCUCCUGCCUGGCACCAUGGCUUUUGUGGGGUAGACACUCAAUAAAUAUAUAUUUUUAAAGC
rnacentral:lncRNA from 1 species